CAGCCGUAAACAAUGUGCGUUAGGUGUGUCGGUAACCACGCGUUACUGAUGCGCCGAAGAGAAAUCGUGAAACGCACCACCUGGGAAGUACGGCCGCAAGGCUGAAACUUAAAGGAAUUGGCGGGGGAGCACCACAACGCGUGGAGCCUGCGGUUUAAUUGGAUUCAACGCCGGACAUCUCACCGAGGGGCGACAGCAGAAUGAUGGCCAGGUUGAUGACCUUGCUUGACAAGCUGAGAGGUGGUGCAUGGCGUAGUCGUGU
rnacentral:rRNA from 1 species